rnacentral:SRP_RNA from 1 species
GCCGGGCGUGGUGGCGCACGCCUGUAGUCCCAGCUACUCGGGAGGCUGAGGCGGAAGAAUCGCUUGAACCCGGAGGCAGAGGUUGCAGUGAGCCAAGAUCAUGCCACUGCACUCCAGCCUGGGUGACAGUGCAAGAUUCCGUCUCAA